rnacentral:rRNA from 1 species
UUUGUAAAUAGCUUAUGGUUGAGUCUGUGAAAUCCUUGAGGGAAACUGGGAUUAGGUACCCCAUUAUUUUUGGAUAUAAAGUGACCAGAGUACUAUGAAUGUUAGAUUUAAAACUCAAAGAACUUGGCGGUGUUUUAGACUGUUCAGGGGAACCUGUCUCGUAAUCGAUAAUCCACGUUAUACCUGACCUUAUUUUGUUUUCAGUUUGUAUACCGUUGUCGUCAGGUAACUUUUUAGAGGAUAUAAGUUAGCAAUAGAAAAGUGAUUUAGUACGUCAAAUCAAGGUGCAGCUUAUAAUGGGGGGAGGAUGGGUUACAAUUAUAAUUUGUAACGGAAGGGGACUGUAAGUAAAUUAGAUAUAGAUAC